rnacentral:rRNA from 1 species
UACGUAGGGUGCGAGCGUUGUCCGGAAUUAUUGGGCGUAAAGAGCUCGUAGGCGGUUUGUUGCGUCGGCCGUGAAAACUCAGGGCUUAACUCUGAGCCUGCGGUCGAUACGGGCAGACUUGAGUUCGGUAGGGGAGACUGGAAUUCCUGGUGUAGCGGUGAAAUGCGCAGAUAUCAGGAGGAACACCGGUGGCGAAGGCGGAUCUCUGGGCCAUAACUGACGCUGAGGAGCGAAAGCAUGGGGAGCGAACAGG